rnacentral:rRNA from 1 species
GGAAUAUUGGGCAAUGGGCGCAAGCCUGACCCAGCAACGCCGCGUGAAGGAAGAAGGUUUUCGGAUCGUAAACUUCUGUCCUAUGUGAAGAUAGUGACGGUAGCAUAGGAGGAAGCCCCGGCUAACUACGUGCCAGCAGCCGCGGUAAUACGUAGGUGGCAAGCGUUGUCCGGAAUGAUUGGGCGUAAAGGGCGCGUAGGCGGCCCGGUAAGUCUGAAGUGAAAGUCCUGGUUUUAAGCUGGGAAUUGCUUUGGAUACUGUCGGGCUUGAGUGCAGGAGAGGUAAGUGGAAUUCCCAGUGUAGUGGUGAAAUGCGUAGAGAUUGGGAGGAACACCAGUGGCGAAGGCGACUUACUGGACUGUAACUGACGCUGAGGCGCGAAAGUGUGGGGAGCAAACA